CAAAACAUAGUAUAUAUUAUUAUUUCUCAUUUACACUGAGAAGAAAGCCUCGCUUGUUUUGA
rnacentral:tRNA from 1 species